rnacentral:rRNA from 1 species
CUUUACACAUGCAAGUACGAACGGCAGCGGCGGGGGCAACCCGUGGCGGCGAGUGGCGAACGGGUGAGUAAUGCAUCGGAACGUAUCCUGUAAUGGGGGAUAACGUAGCGAAAGUUACGCUAAUACCGCAUACGCUCGAGAGAGGAAAGUGGGGGAUCGCAAGACCUCACGUUAUAGGAGCGGCCGAUGUCCGAUUAGCUAGUUGGUGGGUAAAGGCCUACCAAGGCGACGAUCGGUAGCUGGUCUGAGAGGAUGAUCAGCCACACUGGGACUGAGACACGGCCCAGACUCCUACGGGAGGCAGCAGUGGGAAUUUUGGACAAUGGGCGAAAGCCUGAUCCAGCCAUGCCGCGUGCGGGAAGAAGGCCUUCGGGUUGUAAACCGCUUUAGUACCGGGAAAAAGGGGUGCGAGGAUAAUACCCUCGUGCUUUGAUGGUACUGGAAGAAUAAGCACCGGCUAACUACGUG